AAAAAGGUAAGCUAAAAUAAGCUUAUGGGUUCAUACCCCAUCUAUGAAAUAGAACUUUCCCUUUUUG
rnacentral:tRNA from 1 species